rnacentral:rRNA from 1 species
CCAGACUCCUACGGGAGGCAGCGGUGGGGAAUAUUGCACAAUGGGGGGAACCCUGAUGCAGCGACGCCGCGUGGGUGAAGGAGUACUUCGGUACGUAAAGCCCUAUCAGCAGGAAAGAAAAUGACGGUACCUGACUAAGAAGCCCCGGCUAACUACGUGCCAGCAGCCGCGGUAAUACGUAGGGGGCAAGCGUUAUCCGGAUUUACUGGGUGUAAAGGGAGCGUAGACGGCAUGGCAAGUCAGAUGUGAAAGCCCGGGGCUCAACCCCGGGACUGCAUUUGAAACUGUCAGGCUGGAGUGCAGGAGAGGUAAGUGGAAUUCCUAGUGUAGCGGUGAAAUGCGUAGAUAUUAGGAGGAACACCAGCGGCGAAGGCGGCCUGCUGGACCGUGACUGACGUUGAGGCUCGAGAGCGUGGGGAGCAAACAGGAUUAGAUACCCGAGUAA